CCUACGGGAGGCAGCAGUGAGGAAUAUUGGUCAAUGGGCGGAAGCCUGAACCAGCCAAGUCGCGUGAGGGAUUAAGGCCCUGCGGGUCGUAAACCUCUUUUGCCGGGGAGCAGAGGUCCGGACGUGUCCGGGCCGGGAGAGUACCCGGAGAAAAAGCAUCGGCUAACUCCGUGCCAGCAGCCGCGGUAAUACGGAGGAUGCGAGCGUUAUCCGGAUUUAUUGGGUUUAAAGGGUGCGUAGGCGGACUGUUAAGUCAGCGGUAAAAGCCCGGGGCUCAACCCCGGCGAGCCGUUGAAACUGGCUGG
rnacentral:rRNA from 1 species